rnacentral:misc_RNA from 1 species
GAUGAAGAACGCAGCGAAAUGCGAUAAGUAAUGCGAAUUGCAGAAUUCAGUGAAUCAUCGAGUCUUUGAACGCACAUUGCGCCCCCUGGUAUUCCGGGGGGCAUGCCUGUCCGAGCGUCAUUGCUGCCCUCAAGCACGGCUUGUGUGUUGGGCCUCCGUCCUCCUCCCGGGGGACGGGCCCGAAAGGCAGCGGCGGCACCGCGUCCGGUCCUCGGGCGUAUGGGGCUUCGUCACCCGCUCUUGUAGGCCCGGCCGGCGCUUGCCGACACAUCAAUCUUUUUUCCAGGUUGACCUCGGAUCAGGUAGGGAUACCCGCUGAACUUAAGCAUAUCAAUAAGCGGAGGA